rnacentral:misc_RNA from 1 species
GAUAAGAACGCAGCGAAAUGCGAUAAGUAGUGUGAAUUGCAGAAUUCAGUGAAUCAUCGAAUCUUUGAACGCACAUUGCGCCCCUUGGUAUUCCAUGGGGCAUGCCUGUUCGAGCGUCAUUUGUACCCUCAAGCUUUGCUUGGUGUUGGGUGUUUGUCCCGCGUUGCGCGUGGACUCGCCUUAAAGCGAUUGGCAGCCGGCAUAUUGGCCUUGGAGCGCAGCACAUUUUGCGCUUCUAGUCAUGAAUGUUGGCGUCCAUUAAGCCUAUACAUUUGCUCUUGACCUCGGAUCAGGUAGGGAUACCCGCUGAACUUAAGCAUAUCAAUAAGCGGAGGA